GAUGAACGCUGGCGGCGUGCCUAAUACAUGCAAGUCGAGCGAACAGACGAGGAGCUUGCUCCUCUGACGUUAGCGGCGGACGGGUGAGUAACACGUGGAUAACCUACCUAUAAGACUGGGAUAACUUCGGGAAACCGGAGCUAAUACCGGAUAAUAUAUUGAACCGCAUGGUUCAAUAGUGAAAGACGGUUUUGCUGUCACUUAUAGAUGGAUCCGCGCCGCAUUAGCUAGUUGGUAAGGUAACGGCUUACCAAGGCGACGAUGCGUAGCCGACGUGAGGGGGUGGUCGGCCACACUGGAACUGAGACACCGUCCAGACUCCUACGGGAGGCAGCAGUAGGGAAUCUUCCGCAAUGGGCGAAAGCCUGACGGAGCAACGCCGCGUGAGUGAUGAAGGUCUUCGGAUCGUAAAACUCUGUUAUUAGGGAAGAACAAAUGUGUAAGUAACUAUGCACGUCUUGACGGUACCGAAUCAGAAAGCCCCGGCUAACUACGUG
rnacentral:rRNA from 1 species